UUUUUUUUUUUUUUUAAACUUCCAUUAGAAAAAGGCCACAACAGCCUUAACAUUACAUGGCAAAAGUCUAAAAAAAAGGCCACAGGCCUAAACAUACACGGCAAAAGCCCAAAAAAGGCCACAGGCCCAUAAAAAUAAAAGCAAAUAACAGGAUAAAAUCUCGGUUUGAGAAAAUCUCGGUUUGAGAAAACCAAUGUAGAACAGCCAUCGAAUAUGGAUAUGAUUGAUUUUGGAAUUAAGGUUUUUGGUUUAAGAAACCAAUUUGGUAUGCUCACUUGCUCAGAAUUCAGAUAUUAUUUUAAAAUGUUACUCUUUUUCUUUCAGAUGUUAUUGGAAUUCUUUCGGACUCGCUUUAGGCUCUGUAAAAGAUCGUUUGAAUUCACAGAAUAUAUAGAAUUGUAGUUGAAAUAGUUCUCCUUAUUGGGAAUAGAUGCGAUAAUCUGAUUAACUGAAUGAUUAGAAUAAUCUAUUGGUUUUAGUCAUUUUGUCUGAUGAUUACGCAUCUCAUUGUUCCUACUUCCUAUAUAUAGGUUCUGUUGAAAACUCUCUAUAACACAACUAUGAAACCUAUUCCAUAUGCGGUUAAGAUGCUUAUGUUCAGUUAUAUUAAAAAACAUUUAUUCAAAUUAUUCUAGCAUUAUUAACUUGGUGGAAUAACAUUUGAUGACUUUUUCUCUUGUCAAGAACAACAACAUUUUCACACACCUAUAUAUAGAUUGUUUGACCACAAAAAAAGAAAAGAAAAAGACACACUUAUAGAUUAUAUGCAGUGUUUUCACGCGUUUUACUAUAGGUGUGUGAUUUAACCUUGUCAAUCUAUGUUUUGAUUUCUGUUCUUAGCGAUAUGAUGAAGAAGGCUACGGGGAAAGAAGCUAAGGCUGUAACAUUGGUCUAUUGGGACAUCAAGGAGUUUCCGGUUCCCCCUGGCUUUGAUGCACGUCGGGUCCGUCCGUGCAUUAAUCAGUUGUUGGAAACUCAUGGCUACUCUGGUCCUAUCACCAUCUACGCCGUUGGCAUACUAACAGACGUCCACGUUGACAUCCUUCGAGCUCUCUCUUCCACUGGGAUCAUUCUUUGUUACUCCCCCUUCGGUAAGACAGACAUCAUGUCGCUUAUGUUUAAGUGGAUGUGCAACAAUUCACCUCCAGCUAAUCUUUUGGGCAUAUGCGAUCCGGAUGCCUUCCCUCCACCUGAGAUUGGAUUCAACCUUUUCAGUCCGUUUCCAUAUUCUUCUCCUGAACAAGAAGACUCCAUCAGCUGGAUUAACUUAAUUCUGACAGUGUCAGGAACACUUCAGGAGGAUAAGUGCAGUGAAACGGUUGAAUCCGCCACCUGGUCUUGCUUAGCAUGCAAACCUCUUCAUGGCGAAGGCUUUGAAACUUUCACCGGUCAUCUCUCUUCCCAAGAACAUAAAGAUAUGUAUAGGGACUACUUGCCUGUCGAGGAUUAUCUACCCUUGCCGAGAUUGAGGGACGAGGAUGAGAACCCUCCCACCAUUGUGAGGCAUCAACCAGAGAAGGCUACUCCAGAGGAGGCUGAGGCUGUAACAUCGGUCUUUUGGGACAUCAAUAUGUUUCCGGUUCCACCUGGCUUUGAUGCUCGUCUGGUCCGUCCCUGCAUCAGUCGGUUGUUGGAAUCUCAUGGCUACUCUGCUCCUCCCACCAUUUACGCCGUUGGCAAACUAACAGACGUCCAUGAUGACAUCCUUCAAACUCUCUUUUCCACAGGAAUCACUCUUUAUUACGCCCCCCAUGGUUCCGCAGACAUGGUGUUGCUUAUGUCUCAGUGGAUUUCUACGAAUCCACCCCCAGCUAAUAUUUUGGGCAUAUGCGAUCCAAGAGGCUUCCCUCUACCUUUAAAUGGAUACAACCUUUUCCGGCCGUUUUCCUAUUCUUCUCCUAAACAAGACUCCAUCCUCUGGGGAAGCUCUCUUCUGGCAGAUUCAGGGGCUUUUGAAGUGAAUACUUGCAGUGAAACGGAUGAGUGGUAUUGCUUACUAUGCGAUAAUGUUGGUGGCAAAAGCUUUAAAAGUUUCACCAAGCAUCUCUCUAGUCGAAGCCAUUCACAUGAGGGAAAUUCUUCUAAGAAACGGAGGACGUGAAGAAGAAGAAAAAGAGUACUGGGCCCAUGGAAUGGUGUUGUUCUUCUAUUGUUGGUGAUUGGUUUGUUCUACUUCUAGCGGCAAAUGUUGAUCGCGGCGUGGUAUCUCUUUGGACGUAAUUAAACUGAUUCAGAAACUUGAGAUCUCUCCAACUUGUUUCAAAGAUGGUGUUAGAUUAACGCUUGACUCUGAAUCUCAUACUCUCCCAUGACUAUUCUAUUUCCUUCUGCAGCUGCUUUUUAUGGAUAAAAUCUCUCUAACUUUUUUGCUUUUUCGUUACAAAUCUAUUUGAUUGUGUUCAUACCCUUAUCUUUUAACAAUGUAAUCUUUGGUUCACAUUAAUAAAGUUAUGAUUUGAUGUUAAAAAA